rnacentral:rRNA from 1 species
GAUGAACGCUGGCGGCGUGCCUAAUACAUGCAAGUCGAGCGAACGGACGAGAGUGUUGCUUCUCUGAUGUUAGCGGCGGACGGGUGAGUAACAUGUGUAUAAACUACCUAUAAGACUGGGAUAACUUUGGGAAACCGGAGCUAAUACCGGAUAAUAUUUUGAAACGCAUGGUUCAAAAGUGAAAGACGGUCUUGCUGUCACUUAUGGCUGGAUCCGCGCUGCAUUAGCUAGUUGGUAAGGUAACGACUUACCAAGGCAACGAUGCAUAGCCGACCUCAGAGGGUGAUCGGCCACACUGGAACUGAGACACGGUCCAGACUCCUACGGGAGGCAGCAGUAGAGAAUCUUCCGCGAUGGGCGAGAGCCUGACGGAGCAACGCCGCGUGAGUGCUGAAGGUCUUCGGAUCGUAAAACUCUGUUAUUAGUGAAGAACAUAUGUUUAAGUAGCUGUGCACAUCUUGACGGUACCUAAUCAAAAAGCCACGGCUAACUACGUG